CUCUUUACAGGUGCUGUUAAAGGUGACGCAGGUGGAUCAAACGCAUUAAAAAGUGAAGGGUUUGGUGAAUCUGCAAAGGAAACUUUGGGCCUAACAGCCGCCAUCAUUUCUGUCAUGUGUUUGAUCAUCAUUAUCAUGGGAUUAAUUUACAAGAAGAAGCUCAACUUCAUCAACACUGGAUUUCAGAAGAAUUAUAAUAUGGAUGUGCAUGAAAAAAUCCUCAGUAAAUGUUCAGAUAGAGAAACAGUGUAACUACAGCAUCACAUUAAUAUGUAAUAUAUUCAUGUUUUAACUAAAAAAAAAAAACUGCAUAUAUGCAGGAGAUAAAAUCAUUUGUGUGUACAUACAAGAUCAAAUUUACUGACUGUUGAAGACUGCGGUUGUAAGCUUCACUGUGUAUUUAUCACAUUAAUAUGUAAUAUAUUCAUGUUUUAUCUAAAGAUCAUGAUGGAUUGUGAGUCUGUAAAGUUACAAGCCACAUCAAAUCUGCUGUUCACAAAAAUAAAGAUAAAACCAUUUACAUACCAGAUCAAAUCUACUGACUGUUAAAGACUAUGGUUGUAAAAUCUGUGAAGUAUUAUUAUUAUUGAUCUGUUUGAUCAGUGUAAAUACAUCUUAAAUGUACAUUUCCUUAUAGUUUUCUAUGCAUAUUAAGGAGAAACUCUUGGUCUGCAUUGAUAGAUCUGUAGAAACAUAAAUUUGUGUUUCAUUUUAUCUAUUACAUUAUUUCAUUUAACAUUAAUUCAAUUAUAUCAUGCAUUUAUCAUUUUAUCAUUUACUUUUUUAUUAUUUUUAUAUUAUAUUUAUUUUAUUCUAUCUAGUUAUUCUACAUAUAUUUGUUAUCCCUCCUUUUAUGUUUGGGAUCAAAUUGACCCCAAAGCUUUGACAUCAUUGAAAAAUAUGCUAAUUGUAUUUUUAAACCUUUAAAUCUA